rnacentral:lncRNA from 1 species
UAAGUAUGGGUUGACUUCUUGGUUGGGCUUGCCUUCAAGAACUUGGGCUUGUAGUCCAUCUUCUACCGAAAUUGGUUCGUUGAUGCUCGUAACAGAGAUCCAAUGCGCUUUGGCUGCAAGAUUCAGUUUCUUGGACCAAGAUUUCCAAGAUUUGAAAUCUUGAUUUUCUUGAUUCUUGAAAUCGCUCCAAACAACAAAAAUGGGCCAAGAUUCAAUUUCUUGAUUUUCUUGAAAACAAGAAAGUGAAUCUUGAUUUUCUCUUUCUUUUGUGUAUGCAUCUAAGGCCUUGCUAACAAAUUCCUGAAUGGUCCCAUUUAGUUUGGAACGCAUUUUUCGGGCCUUUGACCUCGUUAUUGGGCCUUGUGGUAAUUUGAGCCCAUCGCGUUCUUGAGCUUGGGUUAUGCCUUUGUGACUCGUAUCAUUCCCCCUUUCCUCGAAAAGAUUCGUCCUUGAAUCUGAAAAAUCAAUUGGGGACAAGUCAGCCACAUUAAAAGUAGAACUCACAUUGUACUCACUAG